GAUGAACGCUAGCGGCAGGCCUAAUACAUGCAAGUCGAACGGUGUCUUCGGACAUAGUGGCGCACGGGUGCGGAACACGUAUGCAACCUACCUUACAUUGGGGGAUAGCCUUUCGAAAGGGAGAUUAAUACCGCAUAAGACAGUAGCUGGGCAUCCAGCAGCUGUUAAAGAUUUAUCGAUGUAAGAUGGGCAUGCGUCCAAUUAGUUAGUUGGCGAGGUAACGGCUCUCCAAGACUUUGAUUGGUAGGGGAACUGAGAGGUCAAUCCCCCACACUGGCACUGAGAUACGGGCCAGACUCCUACGGGAGGCAGCAGUAGGGAAUAUUGGGCAAUGGACGCAAGUCUGACCCAGCCAUGCCGCGUGCAGGAUGAAGGCGUUAUGCGUUGUAAACUGCUUUUAUACAGGAAGAAACGACUCUUGCGAGAGGCAUUGACGGUACUGUAUGAAUAAGCACCGGCUAACUCCGUGCCAGCCGCCGCCGUAAAAC
rnacentral:rRNA from 1 species